GAAGUCCCUGGCGGCCUCCCAAACCCAACCCACUAAGCCAUCACCCCAAACCCUGCACCUGCCCUGCCUCCUCCGCUGAUCUGCCCCCACUCAGUCCCGGCCGUGCUGGGACGAGUGGGCUCAAGCUGCCCACAGGAAGGCCUGGCUGCCCACAGGGGCCCCUCUGCAGCAGCCCCCCUGCAGCCCUCCACGCACCUCCCUCGGGGCCAUGGGUGCACCCCCCCCACCAGGAGACCGAGCAGGGGGAGAGACCAGCCCCAGUGCUGUAUGAGCCCUUCUGGCUCCCUGCUCUGCUCAGGCUCCUUCGGCCAAAUCCAUGUGUUUGCUGGUACGUGGUGCCCACGGACUCAGAGACAUCAGCGAUUUGAAAUGGAGUCACUCAGCCCUUUGCAUCGACGAGGUGACAGAAGGGACAAAGGUAAGAUCUGCGAAUUUAUGAAGCUUCUUGGCUCAGGGGCUUGGGCAGGUGGACAGGCCAGCGGCUGGGAGGGAGGGGGGCGUGGGGUGGGGUCCUGCUGGGCCCCGCCCCCGCCCAGCUCAGGCCCCGCCCUCCAAGUGCUCUCAGAAGACCUGGCGGCACAGCUGUUCCUCUCCCGUCUGCGUUUAUCGUUUCCUCUCACUUAAAUCAUAGCUCUUGAGUCCUACUACGUGCUAAGGGCACACACACUGGGACACCCGGUGCUCUGGAGCU
rnacentral:lncRNA from 1 species